UACGUAGGGGGCGAGCGUUGUCCGGAGUUACUGGGCGUAAAGCGCUUGUAGGCGGUCCACCAAGUUUGGGGUGACAGUUGCCGACUUAAUCGGCAAAGUGCCUCAAAGACUGGCGGACUUGAGGGCCACAGAGGGACAUGGAACUCCAGGUGUAGUGGUGAAAUGAGUAGAUAUCUGGAAGAACACCAAAGGCGAAGGCAGUGUCCUGGGUGGUCGCUGACGCUGAGAGGCGAAAGCCAGGGGAGCGAACGGG
rnacentral:rRNA from 1 species